UACGUAGGGUGCAAGCGUUAAUCGGAAUUACUGGGCGUAAAGAGUGCGUAGGCGGCUAUGUAAGACAGAUGUGAAAUCCCCAGGCUCAACCUGGGAACUGCGUCCGAUACUGGAUGGCUUGAAUUCGGGAGAGGGAUGCAGAAUUCCAGGUGUAGCGGUGAAAUGCGUAGAUAUCUGGAGGAAUACCGGUGGCGAAGGCGGCAUCCUGGACCGACAUUGACGCUGAGGAGCGAAAGCUAGGGGAGCAAACGGG
rnacentral:rRNA from 1 species